CCCAUCGCAGUCGGGUUGUUACAGGACUCCCAAAAUUUCACAGCUGGAUAUUGUCUGGAGCUCCCACUGCCAUUGCAAGUCUCUAAAGCCAACUCUGAGCUCACCGCCCCAGGCCCCUUUCUCCUGGGUUCUGAUUUCCUAAGGGGAUGCCAACAUCUACUGAGCUCACACAGUUGAGAUCGCCCUUGACCUCACUUUCUCCUUCAUUCCUCACAAUCAGUCCUUUCCCUAAAAUCUACCUUUAAAGUUCUCUUAAAUUUUCUUGCCUCCAUCCUCUUAUGUAUCUCCUACUCAUCCUCCUUUCAGGCCUGACUAAAGCUUUGCUUUCUUUCCCAUAAGAGUACUUUCGUGUCUACACAGCUUGCAUACAUUUUUAACACUGGGCUGACCACACCAGGGUUGAUGCCUUAUGAGAGUCACUGGGAUGAAUUUAGAGCUCACUGUGGCACUUGGCACAGGCAAGACACCACUGUGUGUUGCUUCAAUGACUAUCCCUAUUUGUCACUACUCUGGUGCGUAACCUUACUAGCUUUCAAUUUGCAGCAGCCUCCCAGCUCAUCUUUUGGUCUCCUGUUUCUCUGCAACGCAUCUUUCACAUUUCACACAGAGUAUUUCUUUUGUGCAAAAUUAAUCCGGUAUCCCCUUCAGUGAUUUUCCAUGUGGAAGAUGUAGAAGACAUAGAGAGAGACCUGCAAGAAAACCAUGAUUGGUGCCUCUGCUCAAUGUGGGAGAGGAAGAGUUAACAUGAUGACAGACGGCAUUUUUUACCUUCAGUCAAUAUGAACAAGGCCCCAAGACUAUGAUUCCAAACAUCUGGAUUUCAUCAAUAUGUGAUCUGUCAUCGUAUAUUGGCAUUCCCCAGUCCCCGCGCCAGAGCAAUGCGGCUGGUUUUAUUAAUACGUCAAAUACAUUAUCCGUGUAAUACACUUGUCUGGCUGGGGCCUCCCGCUGGGGCGGGGCAGCGGAUUUGAAUGUAUGAUGAAUCAGUUUGCAUUACAUGUUCGUAAGUCAUCAUUUGUCAGGAUUAAUAGGCAUCCCUGGUCGAGGAGGUGGGGGUAGGGCAGGCAGGGAGAGAUGUAUAUUUAGCUGUGGCCCAUACUUAUCUGCUAGUGCCUAGGGAUCCUCAGAAAACAGCUGUGUACCCUCUUGUCCAGACCCCAGGUUAGCAGCUAGUGCAUAAGGGACAGAGGUGACAUUUCCAGCAGUUUUAGGGUCACUUGAAACCAAAUAGACCUAUUUGUCUCUGCUUCAGGGUUGCCAAACAGCCAAAGAGGAUAUGGGUGCGUGGGUGGGGGGGCAUUUGCACAAGCUGGCUAAUUCCUUCUUACCCUUUAGAACUCACUCUAGAAUUUCUUCUUCCAGGGAGCUUCCCUUAACUCCCUCAGACUGAAUUAGGUGCCUCCUCUGUGUUCCCACAGCCUCCUGUGCUGUGUCUUUUGCAGUCCUCCUAACACAGUGUUGUUAUCAUCUGCUGUGUGUCUAGCACCUUUAGAGCAUACAUUUCUGGACAGCAAAAUUAACUUGCUCAUGAUAUAGUCCCAGCAUCUAACAGAGGGCCCAAAGUAAGAAGAAAGUAAUAGCAAUAGGAGAAAUCAAUAGAUAGUCCUUGAAUUGAGAGAUAACUGUUGCCCUUGCCAAACUGCCAGACAUUACCCUGCAGACAUUGCCCUGGAGAGUGGGAGACUUUCUUGACUCUGGUCUAGUCUGGUCACUUAUUCUGAGGUAUACACUUUGCUUUCCUGACUUUUCUUCCUUUCAUAAGGCUUGUGUAGACCCUUCACACAGUAUCAGUUUCCUUGCAGGUGACAUACAUACACAGAUCAAGCAUACAGGAGUGACAGUUCAUACUCACAUGUCCUUGCCGUCUUCCUUCCCCCUCUGUUCUGCCCAUAGAAUCUCCAAUAUCAGUUCCACGUGACCUCCUGUCAACUCCAGGAACAAGCCUCUGUUUGGUCUCUGCACUUCUCUUGUGAUAGAUACUAUUUCCUGUCUCUGGCAACAGAGGGGGGCCUGAACCAACUGAGCCAGAUGUGGCUUCACCUGCAGGGUAGCCAGGGAGUGAUUAGCUUAUAGACAGGUUUAGGCUCAAAAUGGAGCCAAAAGUUGUGGGCCAAGGCACAACCAAGCUCACUAAGUCCUGAUCAUGGAACCUGGACCCUUGGACCCACAAGCCUUUGCUACCUCCAGUGCACCAGCCAACCUGUUCAGAACUGCUGGGGUCUCAGGGUCCACAGCCAUUCUACACCUCUGCCUUUGGCUGUUCUAAACAUAACUGUAGUCUCUCUCUUCUUGUGGAGUUACAAUUCAUUCCGCUCCUCCUUGAGUCAAUAACUUCCUGGCAGCUCCCUGUGCUAGGCAGGGCUGGGUGAGUUUGUGGGUUGGCAGGUGGGGCCUUCCAGUGUGUCCAGGAUUAGGGGCUUCAAAGUUCAGUAAAGGAGCCCAUUCAAGAAAAUACUCAUAUGUGGACAAGCACAUUAUCAUCUCAAUGUCUGUAUCCACACAGAUGCUCACAUUGGCUAGAUGCACAUACCUAAGCACUUACGCAUGUUUUCAAGUGUAGCUGAGUUUACCUGAGCAUAUUCUCGCCAGUGUGCCACCCACUCCCCUCUCCCCCAAUGCUUCCUUGUCAUGGAGCCAAAAUGCUAAGACUGUACUGUUUAAAGUAAAAUUACUUUAAGUGUGCUUUACCCCCUGCUGGCUCUGACUGUGGACUUAUAAAAAUGAAGUGGGAACCUCCACAGCUGUAGGCAAUAAAUCCUGAAUGGCCGAGGA